CCCACGGUUGCCAGGGGCAGGCCCACUGCUCGGCCCUCUCUCCCACCAGGGCGGCCGGGGCAGCCCUGGGUGCCCUGCUUGCAGGCGCUGCUGGCCACAGUGAGGGAGGGACAACCCACAAGCCUAGGUCUUCUUCAGCGAGUUCCCUCUGAGGCCCACUGGUCCACAAGGCACUUUUUCUAGCCCGGGGUCUGCCUGGCAUGCCCUGGACUCUCCAGAGAUGUUUGCUGUUAGCUCCCCAGGGUGGAAAUGCCAGAUUGGGAGUGGGCAAAGCACUCUCACUAACAAGCCCCGACGUCUGCGGUUUACCUUGGAAAGAGAAGACACUGCUGAGUGGUUGCUGUCCUUCAUUUAUUUCAGAACUCCUACCAGGAAAUGAGAGAAGGAGGUAAAGGCUGCAGAGUCCCCGGUGGACAUGGAACACUCGGCCAGUUAGCCCCUCAUACCUUGUGGGCCAGAGCCCCGCCUGCCGACCUGAUGGGGUCUGCAGACACCUGAGGGGGAGGAGCCUGGACCUUUCUCCUGCACCCCCAGAUCGGCCCCCCAGAGUCCUGGCAGCUGUGCUUGCAGAGGUUCAGACAGGGACUGCGUGCUGGGUGAGGUCACACAGGAAGUCACCCUGAGCGCUGGGUCUCAGCCAGUCCAGUGUUCUAACAAGACAGCUAAUGUUUAGUGUAGGCCUGCAGAAGGCCUGGAAGCUUUUGCGCUUGUGUCCUGAGGGAAGCCAGCCAUCUGGAAAUAAGGCCAACGACAGAGGAGGAGACCACCGAGCUGAAAGGAAGCCCGGCCAACCACACAGAGAAGCACAGAGGGUCCCAGGAGGAUCCUCCCCCUCACCCUCUCUUUUUCUGGUCCUGCUUCUCUGCAGAACCUGCCUAAUCCAGGCUCCCUGAGGCCAGGAGCCAAAUACGAUUUGCCUUUGCCCCUCAGUCUACACAGUGUCAGGCUCAGACUCUCAGAAGCAGAAGACUGGAAAGCACCCAAACAUCCAGAGAGAGGGAAUGGGAGAGUAAACGAGCGGACAGUCACACGACAGAAUAGUGUGGACUCAGAAAAAACUAAGAAGGCUCCCUACUCACUGACACAGACAAGGUCUACAGAAUGCGGUUAGGCGGAAGGAGCAAGAGAUGUACUGAAUUAUUUACGAACAAAAUAAUAUGAUGUCUGGGGUUCACUUCCAAUUAUCCGUGGAUGGGGGAAUGGACGGCAGAAAAGAACCAAGCUUGGCUCUGAAAUAAGAAGACGAAAGCCCCCCUGGAGACCCUACCUGGAGUAAAACGCUGGGAGAAUGGACAGCAAGUCCGGGCUGGAUUGGAGGCGGACCGGGCUGCGAGGGUCUCCACCCCAGACCACUCAGAACCCAGGGAGCAUUGGGCAUUGAAGUGGAUGCGUCCUGGCGGACGAAGAGCUGCACAUCUGGGGACUCCGGGGAGGACUAGGGACACCUUCUGUGGAGGAGGCUUGCGCAGCGGAGCGGCCAGGGGCAUCCGAUCCCUGUUUGGUGCACUGCACCUCUCACGGAGAAGCCUUUGGAAGACCUGCAUCUGCUGCUUUAAAACAAAAGGUCUAUAAAUAGUAGUUUAGGAAAAAGGACUCUGAGUGUGGAGUCAUAAGGCACAGUUUUAGUUGUAGCUCUGACCCUGGGUAGGUUACCUGCCCAUUUUCCAGAUGGAAAUAAUAAUUCUUGCUCCUCCCUGAAUUCUUGGAAUCCAGAGAUAAUUAGGGCUUUGAGUGCUUCUGAAGAGAGAUGUCUGGAAACAUAAGAGCAUCCCGUGAUUCCCGUGGCCUGGGUGGAUGGAGUGGAGACUGAGAGAAGUCAGCAUACAUAACUGAGCUCAGAAAAGGCAGCUAGUCUUCUAGAUUUUAUCUAGAGGGAAGGCAAGAGAGUCUGAGAAGCUAAACAAGCUAUACACUACCACUGUGAACUCAUAUUUACACAACUGUGUGUAGUCUAUGGUCCCAUUUGACCCUUGCCUCAAACCUGCAGGGAUGGGGUUUUUCCCUUUCUGAAGAAGGAGCAACUGAGCCUCCAAGAAGAGCUCAAAGUGACUUGUUUGAAUCCGGGAUACAGCCAGGCCCCAGCCCAUGCACAGUCCUGCUCUCCGCUGAGAUGUGUCCAGGCGCAGCACCUGGGCCUGCUGGUUGCUAGUCAGAAUUGGAGUUGCCCUGUGUCACUGUCUCAUGCAUCUGCCCCUUCAGCAGCAUCUCCUAAGAGCCACAUGGUGUUGAGCACUGCAGGUAAAGGUGGAAUAUGGAGCCGGGCUCUCAGGGAGCUGCUGGUGCUCCUCGGGUCCCUUUUAUGACGUGUGAUGGCAGAGGCUGCAGGACCUCCCCUCAAUUUCCCUUCCCCCAUUCUUUCUCACUAGCAGAACCUUGGGAUACGUAUUCAGCUAAAAAACUACCUUCCCCAGCCACAUUGCAUGUAUGAAUGACCAAUAAAAACUGAUCUCAGUUCUUCCUCCUUCUGGCCU